GGAACACUGAUGAUUACUAGGCAUCUUUUUACUUAUCAUUCAGUUGAAUCUAGCAAACUAAAUGGCAAAGUUAAUGUUGACCAGAGAGUCUGUAGAAACUGAACGAGAUAAGGACCCUUACAUCAAUAGGCAAACUUCAAUUUCCACUACAACCAAACUGAAUGGACUAAUGGGAUUCAGAGAAAGGCAUGAAAACUGCAGAAGGAGGUGGAAGACAAGCAAAAUGCUUGGUCCAGGUGUAAGCUGACAACUCACUUGAAGAGCAAGUUUCUGUGCAAGCAGAGGGAAGAGCUCCCAGGGCUGGUCCUGGUGAUAUUCUGAAGAGGGAGCCCUGUGCCUCACUGCCCUCCACGGAGGCCUGCUGAGCUCCAGAAGGUGUGUGGAGUGGAUGGUUCCAAUGAGAAGGCCCCUAUAAAAUUUAGAGAUCACAAGAUAGAGGUGACUGGUAAUGAUUAGAAAAGCCCAUAAAGCAAACCAGAUGUGAGAUUCUCCUCUAUCGUGCAGGAGCCGUAGAGCAGUGAUGACAGGUCUAAGCUCAGACAGGCCUAGCACAAUCUUGGCAGCUGUGCUCAACCUCUAAAUGGCAUGGGAGAGAUCCUAAAGCUUCCUGCCACCCCCAAGAAGGGACAUGAAUGACCUGAGGGAAGGCUGAAACACUUGAAGGAUGCUGGAGGUCAGCAGGGAGAAACACUGGCUUCCAGAGUGGGACCACACAUUGAUAAGGUGUCAAUAGUCUCAUGUACCAAUGGGGCAAAAAGGUCCACUGAGCCCCAGGAAGAAUGGUCGUGGCUUAGCAGAUGCCAGGAGGUUAAAGAACAGGUGAGCACAGCAGAAGCCUUGUGAUGAUCUGCUCCUCAUCGUCCCCCUACCCACACCCCAAAAACACCCACCCAGGGCCAUGACUCCUUGGGUGACCUCACAAAGGAAUGCCCCUCAGGAAGAAGGCAAGAUCAUGAAUUAACUGAAGUUUCAAUUUGAAACACCAGACACAUGACCACAGUUUCUGUUAUUAGGCAGAAUAAUGCCUGAAACUGUAGAUUAAGUCCCAUUAUUAGACAAAUAAUGGAAGUUAUACAUUUGUAGGCACCUGCAAAAAUGGAAUGUAACUAUUGCACACAAUGUACAAAGGUCAUGUCUGCUCUCUACACAGCGUUGAGGACGUAAUUUUAGAAUCUGGGUGGCUGUUUCUCUUAAGAACAGCUUUUUAUCUAAUGAUGACAGCAUCCAUGACAUAAGGAACAUUUUGGAUAUUUUUUUUGGAGGGGGGAGUUUUUAGUCACUAGAUACUCAUUUCUCUGUAAUUAUGAACUUGUAGAGUUUUAAAACUAUGAUUGUAUUGGUUUGCUAAAGCUGUUGCAACAAAGUAUCACAAACCAGGUAGCUUAAACAUAGAAACACUUCAUCCCAUGGUUUUGGAGGCCAGAAAUCAGAGAUCAAGGCCUCAGUCCGCAGAGCCAGUUCCUUCUGAGUGCUUCAUGGGAAGGAUCUGGUCCAGACCUCACUCCUCAGCUCUGACAUGGCCACCUCUUCGCUGUGUCUCUUUACAUUGUCUUUCUUCUGUGUGUAUCUGUCUCUGUGUCCAAAUUUCUCCCUUUUUUUUUAAUAAAAGUGCCAGUCCUACGGAUUAGGACCCAUCUAAUGAUCUCAUCCUUACUUAACUACAUCUGCAAUGACUCUUUUGCCAACGAAGGUCACAUUCUAAGAUACUGAAGGCUAGGACUUCAACAUACUGAUCUUCAAGAGGACACAUAAUGAUGAUUUAGUCUGUGAUGAUUAAGCUAUCAGAAAAAAAGUUUAUUGGGUUUCCAUGAUUUCUGUUACUCUAUAUUUUCUGCAAAGAUUCCUCAAAAAUAAUACCACAGAGGACAAUAGGGAAUGGUAUUGGCUUCUGGCUUAAUUCACUGUAAGUGAGCAGCACUAUCACUAAUGUAAUUUGCCUUGAAAAUAUAAACGAUUAUCAGUAUAAAGGUCUUUGUGUGUAUUUCAGCAGCUCUAAGACACUAUUGAUUUUAGUUACACCAUUAUCUGUGUACUAAUAGGAAAGAACUGUGACAUGCUAAGUAGCUUUACCUUCCUGGAAGUCAUUCCACAGUCUUUCAGACCUAGUCUUGCACAAAUCACCCUCCUGUAGAAAACACCCCCCUGCCACCACUGCAUCAUGUGACAUAUGACAUGUUUGUUUACUUAUUUGUUCCCUCUGUCUUUCUUUCUCCCACUAGAAUGCAGGUUCUAUAGAAGAAAAGCUUUGGUCAAUUUUGUUCGCCCACUCUCACCGACCCUGAAAGGGCCUGACACGUAGUAGGCACUCAGUGCUUAUUUUCUGAAUUUUUAAAUAAAUUCCAUAAAUUAUAUAUCUCAAAGAGAAUGUAUGUAUUGCCUGUAUGUAUGUAAAUUUAUUAUGAGCACAUCAUUUUACUAUGUACAUUCUAUAUUCUGUAUUAUAUACAUGAAUCAAUAUUUUUACAUGGUUCGUCCAUGUAGAUAUAAUUACUGGUCACUUGUCUGGGACAUUGAGCAAAAUCAUCAAAAUGAUCAUAUUUCUAAGCUUACUUGAUAUUAGCACCAUCUAGAGAGGGGAAUAAAUGUCAGUGAUUAAUCUUGAUACAAAUUUUUCUUUCUUUCCCCACUCCUUUGUUAUUGAGAUGCACCACUGUCCUGAGGGAAGACAAGAGACUAGAUGUUCACAAGCAUAUCAAGACACAGCCCUCCCCCAUCUAAUCACCCGGGUCACAGGCCUGCAGUUGGCCCUCAGACUGUGCUUUUGAGAGCCAGCUGCUUUUUCAAGGUUUGAACUGGCCUGAACCAGCCUCCAUCUCUGCAGAAAUGGAUGGAAGGCGAUGACAAGUUAUGUGGUUUGCCCAUCUUACUCUCUCUUGGGAUCCUCCAGUUGGCAUCAUUGCUACUCUUGAGAAAAAUUUAAAGGAAGAACUCCAUUAGUAAUUUCAGGUCAUUAGUGUCUUCAAGAGAUUGACACCGCUGUUACUGAAUAUAUACUACUAAUAACAACUCACACAUUCAUGAUGUGCUUAUCCUAGCCUCAGCAGAGUGGUAGGUGUUAACAUAGGAACAGUCCUGCUCUACUCAGAACAAUAAGGGUCACCCAAACAAAUCAGGCCCUGACACCUAGAUCCUGUGAAUGUUACCUUAUUUGGAAAAAAAAAAAGUCUUGUCU